rnacentral:rRNA from 1 species
UACGAAGGGGGCAAGCGUUGUUCGGAAUUACUGGGCGUAAAGCGCGCGUAGGCGGGCCGGUUAGUCGAUUGUGAAAGCCCUGGGCUCAACCUAGGAAUGGCAGUCGAAACUACCGGUCUUGAGUGCCUGAGAGGAUGGCGGAAUUCCCGGUGUAGUAGUGAAAUACGUAGAUAUCGGGAAGAACACCUGAGGCGAAGGCGGCUAUCUGGCGGUGCACUGACGCUAAGGCGCGAAAGCGUGGGGAGCAAACAGG